UUUUAAAAGAAGAUUUCUUCGGAUUGACUCUUUUAUUAUCUUAGCGGCGGACGGGUGAGUAACGCGUGAGAAACCUGCCUUUCACAAAGGGAUAGCCUCGGGAAACUGGGAUUAAUACCUUAUGAUACUUUUAGAUAGCAUUAUUUAAAAGUCAAAGCGUAAAGCGGUGAAAGAUGGUCUCGCGUCCCAUUAGCUAGUUGGUGAGAUAAAAGCUCACCAAGGCAACGAUGGGUAACCGGCCUGAGAGGGUGAACGGUCACACUGGAACUGAGACACGGUCCAGACUCCUACGGGAGGCAGCAGUGGGGAAUAUUGCACAAUGGAGGAAACUCUGAUGCAGCGACGCCGCGUGAACGAUGAAGGCUUUCGAGUCGUAAAGUUCUGUCCUAGGGGACGAUAAUGACGGUACCCUAGGAGGAAGCCCCGGCUAAUUACGUGCCAGCAGCCGCGGUAAUACGUAAGGGGCGAGCGUUGUCCGGAAUUAUUGGGCGUAAAGGGUUCGCAGGCGGCCUUUUAAGUCAGAUGUGAAAUCUCACGGCUUAACCGUGGUAAGCAUUUGAAACUGAAAGGCUUGAGUUAAGGAGAGGAAAGUGGAAUUCCUAGUGUAGCGGUGAAAUGCGUAGAUAUUAGGAAGAAUACCAGUGGCGAAGGCGACUUUCUGGACUUAUACUGACGCUGAGGAACGAAAGCAUGGGGAGCAAACAGGAUUAGAUACCCUGGUAGUCCAUGCCGUAAACGAUGAGUGCUAGGUGUUGGGGGUCAAACCUCGGUGCCGCAGCUAACGCAUUAAGCACUCCGCCUGGGGAGUACGUACGCAAGUAUGAAACUCAAAGGAAUUGACGGGGACCCGCACAAGCAGCGGAGCAUGUGGUUUAAUUCGAAGCAACGCGAAGAACCUUACCAGGGCUUGACAUGCCUCUGACCGCUCUAGAGAUAAAGUUUCCCUUCGGGGACAGAGGACCAGGUGGGGGAUGGUUGCCG
rnacentral:rRNA from 1 species